UACAGAGGGUGCAAGCGUUAAUCGGAAUUACUGGGCGUAAAGCGUGCGUAGACGGUUAUGUAAGUCGGGUGUGAAAGCCCCGGGCUCAACCUGGGAAUGCCAUUCGAGACUGCAUAGCUAGGGUGCGGAAGAGGGAAGCGGAAUUUCCGGUGUAGCGGUGAAAUGCGUAGAUAUCGGAAGGAACACCCGUGGCGAAGGCGGCGUGCUGGGUUGCAACUGACGCUGAGAUGCGAAAGUGUGGGGAGCAAACGGG
rnacentral:rRNA from 1 species